UAUAUACGACGACCCCGCGAGGGUCGGUUAUUGUCCGUGCCACGUCCCUUAUCCCGUUGCGUUGAAAGAACUGAUACAUAACCUUAUUGAAACGUUAACCUAGGAUGAAUUGUAUAACUGCCAAUUAAUAGGUCCUCGAGCUAUUAUGUAUCGCGAUUGAUUCGAAAUUGUACAACAUAAUCUCUUUUGUUAAAAUAGUCAAAACCUAUGAAGUGGCAGUUAUAAUCGUGUUAAAUUAAUGUAAAUACACGACCUUAUAAAUAACUUAAAAUAAAAUUAUAGAACUAUUACAGAUAAUAUAAUCGUUAAGAUUACAUAGAUAAUAUCCUAUUCUUAUUUCAGUAGUCGCUCUAGUAACCUUAUACCUGCCUAAGAAAAGGAGGAAAUAUUUUCUUCGUAGCCGCUGCUGAUGGCUACACUGUCUGUCACGCGCAGUUUAUGUGAGAUAUAUAAAUAUAUACACUAUUUUAAUGUCUAAGUGACUACCUACACUAUUAAACUCUAGAUUUAUUCUUUGUCAUUUUAUAAUAAAAUAUAGUUGAAAAUUAAA